CUUCGGAGGGUAUGCUUAAAGAGGGGCUUGCGUCACAUUAGUUAGUUGGUAAGGUAAAGGCUUACCAAGACGAUGAUGUGUAGCUGGACUGAGAGGUUGAACAGCCACAUUGGGACUGAGACACGGCCCAAACUCCUACGGGAGGCAGCAGUAGGGAAUUUUCGGCAAUGGAGGAAACUCUGACCGAGCAACGCCGCGUGAACGAUGAAGUACUUCGGUAUGUAAAGUUCUUUUAUUGAAGAAGAAAAAAUAGUGGAAAAACUAUAUUGACGUUAUUCAAUGAAUAAGCCCCGGCUAACUAUGUGCCAGCAGCCGCGGUAAUACAUAGGGGGCGAGCGUUAUCCGGAAUUAUUGGGCGUAAAGGGUGCGUAGGCGGUUUGAUAAGUCUCUAGUUUAAUUUCAGCGCUUAACGCUGUCCUGCUAGAGAAACUGUCUUACUAGAGUGAGAUAGAGGCAAGCGGAAUUCCAUGUGUAGCGGUAAAAUGUGUAAAUAUGUGGAGGAACACCAGAGGCGUAGGCGGCUUGCUGGGUCUUUACUGACGCUGAGGCACGAAAGCGUGGGGAGCAAACAGGAUUAGAUACCCUGGUAGUCCACGCCGUAAACGAUGAGUACUAAGUGUCGGGGCAACUCGGUACUGAAGUUAACACAUUAAGUACUCCGCCUGAGUAGUACGUACGCAAGUAUGAAACUUAAAGGAAUUGACGGGAUCCCGCACAAGCGGUGGAUCAUGUUGUUUAAUUCGAAGAUACACGAAAAACCUUACCAGGUCUUGACAUAUUCUGCGAAUCUAUAGAAAUAUAGUGGAGGUUACCAGAAAUACAGGUGGUGCAUGGUUGUCGUCAGCUCGUGUCGUGAGAUGUUAGGUUAAGUUCUAAAACGAGCGCAACCCUUAUCGUUAGUUACCAGCAUGUUAUGAUGGGGACUUUAGCGAGACUGCCAAUGAAAAAUUGGAGGAAGGUGAGGAUUACGUCAAAUCAUCAUGCCCCUUAUGAUCUGGGCUACAAACGUGAUACAAUGGCUAUUACAAAGAGUAGCUGAAACGUGAGUUUUUAGCCAAUCUCAAAAAAAUAGUCUCAGUUCGGAUUGAAGU
rnacentral:rRNA from 1 species